rnacentral:tRNA from 1 species
AGGAUAUUAGUUUAAAAUUAAAACAAUUAAAUUGCAUUUAAUAAUUAUUUUUAUAAAUAUAUCUUAAU